UAAAAUGCUGAAAUUGUUAAUUUGCAACCUAAUAUUUGUUACGAUUGUGCACGACUUUAUGUGUUACCUAUUUAAAUUAACAUUAUGUAGGUAUAUAAGACAUUGUAAGAAAAUAAAAGUAAAAAUUAAAAAUCAAUACCGUAAGUAGGCUCCAUAUUUGAUCAUGUGAGAUAUAUAGUUGCAAAUCUUAGAUUUCAAUGUUCCACAAUUUGGCAAUCCAAAAACGCCUUGAUGUUGACCACCCAAGGAGAUGAAAUUCUUAACUGGGGGAUUGGGGCAUCUUUGAAUUACCGCUCUCCUGAAUUGAGCACCUUGAGAAAAUCCAAUUGCAUUAUAACCGUUUUUAAGACGUUCAUUUUUCAGCAAUUGUUCACAAACUUCUUGUAUUUGCUCAUUAAUAUUUCCAAAGUAACUAUUUUCGACAUCCUAAAAUAUUAUAAUAAAGCGUCAAUAAACACUUAGCUUGCUGCCUAGAAAAACAUCGGUUAUUGGAACAUCACUGUCUAGUAACUAUUAAUGAGCAAAAAUGAGAUAG
rnacentral:misc_RNA from 1 species